rnacentral:misc_RNA from 1 species
GAAGAUCUGGUACAGGAGCAAAUGACAUCGCUAGUUUAUAAAAGCUCUCUGCAGCUGCAUAUCUGUCGACAUUCAUAACAGAACCCAGAAGUGCAUGUUCCAGGCUGGCAUCAAGAGCCAUCAGAAGACUCUCAGAAAGAAAUUUCACCUCAGACCAGGACCAGAGGUUUUCUUCUGAUCCUUCUGGAACAGCAGCCAGUGCAUUUUGUGGGAGCCCAGACUCAAGUAAUAAGGAGGAACUCUUAGCCUCAUCUGCCAUUUCCUCCAAAGAAUUUCGAAGACGACGAGCUUCACCACUUUCUUCUAGCGUUCCAUCAGGUUUCAUUUGUGUUACUUGAACUUCAG